rnacentral:rRNA from 1 species
GACGAACGCUGGCGGCGUGCUUAACACAUGCAAGUCGAACGAAGAGCGAUGGAAGCUUGCUUCUAUCAAUCUUAGUGGCGAACGGGUGAGUAACGCGUAAUCAACCUGCCCUUCAGAGGGGGACAACAGUUGGAAACGACUGCUAAUACCGCAUACGAUCUAAUCUCGGCAUCGAGGAUAGAUGAAAGGUGGCCUCUACAUGUAAGCUAUCACUGAAGGAGGGGAUUGCGUCUGAUUAGCUAGUGGGAGGGGUAACGGCCCACCAAGGCGAUGAUCAGUAGCCGGUCUGAGAGGCUGAACGGCCACAUUGGGAGUGAGACACGGGCCAGGCUCCUACGGGAGGCAGCAGUGGGGAAUCUUCCGCAAUGGACGAAAGUCUGACGGAGCAACGCCGCGUGAGUGAUGACGGCCUUCGGGUUGUAAAGCUCUGUUAAUCGGGACGAAAGGCCUUCUUGCGAAUAGUGAGAAGGAUUGACGGUACCGGAAUAGAAAGCCACGGCUAACUACGUG